UCCCUAGCCAUGCAGAUUGACGGAUGAGUGGAGAGCUUGCUCUUCGGGUGGCGGGGAAGGGACGGGUGAGGAAUACAUCGGAAUCUACUUUUUCGUGGUUUUCCACGUACGGAAACGUACGCUAAUACCGCAUACGACCUACGGGUGAAAGCAGGGGAUCUUCGGACCUUGCGCGAUUGAAUGAGCCGAUGUCGGAUUAGCUAGUUGGCGGGGUAAAGGCCCACCAAGGCGACGAUCCGUAGCUGGUCUGAGGAGGAUGAUCAGCCACACUGGAACUGAGACACGGUCCAGACUCCUACGGGAGGCUGUAGUGGGGAAUAUUGGACAAUGGGAGCAAGCCUGAUCCAGCCAUACGGCGUGGGUGAAGAAGGCCUUCGGGUUGUAAAGCCCUUUUGUUGGGAAAGAAAUCCAGCUGGGUGAUACCCGGUUGGGAUGACGGUACCCAAAGAAUAAGCACCGGCUAACUUCGUGCCAGCAGCCGCGGUAAUACGAAGGGUGCAAGCGUUACUCGCAAUUUCUGGGCGUAAAGCGUGCGUAGGCCGGCGUUUAAGUCUGUUGUGAAAGACCUGGGCUCAACCUGGGAACUGCAGUGGAUACUGGGCGAAUAGAGUGUUGUAGAGGGUAGCGGAAUUCCUGGUGUAGCAGUGAAAUGCGUAGUAGAUCAGGAGGAACAUGCCAUGGCGAAGGCAGCUACCUGGACCAACACUGACACUGAGGCACGAAAGCGUGUGGAGCAAACGGUGAUAAGAUACCCUGGUAGUCCACGCCCUAAACGAUGCGAAUCCGUCGNUUGGUGCAGGAUGGCACGCAGUAUCAAUGCCAACGCGUAUUUACGCCGCAUCGA
rnacentral:rRNA from 1 species